UGGGGAAUAGUGCACAAUGGGCGCAAGCCUGAUGCAGCCAUGCCGCGUGUGUGAAGAAGGCCUUCGGGUUGUAAAGCACUUUCAGCGGGGAGGAAGGCGAUAAGGUUAAUAACCUUGUCGAUUGACGUUACCCGCAGAAGAAGCACAGGCUAACUCCGUGCCAGCAGCCGCGGUAAUACGGAGGGUGCAAGCGUUAAUCGGAAUUACUUGGGGUAAAGCGCAAGCAGGCGGUCUGUCAAGUCGGAUGUGAAAUCCCCGGGCUCAACCUGGGAACUGCAUUCGAAACUGGCAGGCUAGAGUCUUGUAGAGGGGGGUAGAAUUCCAGGUGUAGCGGUGAAAUGCGUAGAGAUCUGGCGGAAUACCGGUGGCGAAGGCGGCCCCCUGGACAAAGACUGACGCUCAGGUGCGAAAGCGUGGGGAGCAAACAGG
rnacentral:rRNA from 1 species